rnacentral:rRNA from 1 species
UACGAAGGGGGCUAGCGUUGCUCGGAAUCACUGGGCGUAAAGCGCACGUAGGCGGCUUUCUAAGUCAGGGGUGAAAUCCUGGAGCUCAACUCCAGAACUGCCUUUGAUACUGGGAAGCUCGAGUCCGGAAGAGGUGAGUGGAACUCCGAGUGUAGAGGUGAAAUUCGUAGAUAUUCGGAAGAUCACCAGUGGCGAAUGCGGCUCACUGGUCCGGUACUGACGCUGAGGUGCGAAAGCGUGGGGAGCAAACAGG